GCCCGGUUAGCUCAAUCGGUAGAGCGUGUGGCUUUUAUUCAUUGCACACCUCAAGGUUGCGAGUUCGAGCCUCGCAUCGGGCG